GACCGGCGCACGGGUGCGUAACGCGUAUGCAAUCUACCUUUUACAGAGGGAUAGCCCAGAGAAAUUUGGAUUAAUACCUCAUAGUAUAGCUGUACCGCAUGGUACUACUAUUAAAGUCACAACGGUAAAAGAUGAGCAUGCGUCCCAUUAGCUUGUUGGUAAGGUAACGGCUUACCAAGGCAACGAUGGGUAGGGGUCCUGAGAGGGAGAUCCCCCACACUGGUACUGAGACACGGACCAGACUCCUACGGGAGGCAGCAGUGAGGAAUAUUGGUCAAUGGGCGCAAGCCUGAACCAGCCAUGCCGCGUGCAGGAUGACGGUCCUAUGGAUUGUAAACUGCUUUUAUACAGGAAGAAACACUCCCUCGUGAGGGAGCUUGACGGUACUGUAGGAAUAAGGAUCGGCUAACUCCGUGCCAGCAGCCGCGGUAAUACGGAGGAUCCAAGCGUUAUCCGGAAUCAUUGGGUUUAAAGGGUCCGUAGGCGGUCUAAUAAGUCAGUGGUGAAAUCCUUCCGCUUAACGGGAGAACGGCCAUUGAUACUGUUAGACUUGAAUUAUUAGGAAGUAACUAGAAUAUGUAGUGUAGCGGUGAAAUGCUUAGAGAUUACAUGGAAUACCAAUUGCGAAGGCAGGUUACUACUAAUGGAUUGACGCUGAUGGACGAAAGCGUGGGUAGCGAACAGGAUUAGAUACCCUGGUAGUCCACGCCGUAAACGAUGG
rnacentral:rRNA from 1 species